rnacentral:rRNA from 2 species
UUAAAGGAAUUGACGGAAGGGCACCACCAGGAGUGGAGCCUGCGGCUUAAUUUGACUCAACACGGGAAAACUUACCCGGCCCGGACACCGGAAGGAUUGACAGAUUAAGAGCUCUUUCUUGAUUCGGUGGGUGGUGGUGCAUGGCCGUUCUUAGUUGGUGGAGCGAUUUGUCUGGUUAAUUCCGAUAACGAACGAGACUCUAGCCUACUUAAUAGAGAACCGAUUUCCUCUCGUCGGUUACUCUUCUUAGAGGGACAAGCGGCGUUUAGCCGCACGAGACAGAGCAAUAACAGGUCUGUGAUGCCCUUAGAUGUCCGGGGCCGCACGCGCGCUACACUGAAGGAAUCAGCGUGUGUUCACCCUGGCCGAAAGGUCUGGGUAACCCGUUGAACCUCCUUCGUGAUAGGGAUAGGGGCUUGUAACUAUUCCCCUUGAACGAGGAAUUCCCAGUAAGCGCGAGUCAUAAGCUCGCGUUGAUUACGUCCCUGCCCUUUGUACACACCGCCCGUCGCUACUACCGAUUGAAUGAUUUAGUGAGGUCUUCGGACUGGUGCUCGGAGCGGCCCUCGGGUCGCGCCGGCGUACCGGAAAGAUGACCAAACUUGAUCAUUUAGAGGAAGUAAAAGUCGUAACAAGGUUUCC